rnacentral:rRNA from 1 species
AUGGCUCCCAAAACAAGGGCGACCAAGGAUGCGGAAAAGACAGGAAAGGCGCCGGAGAAGUCGAAGAAGGCAGUGCCGACGCAGAUGCGGAGGGAAAACACUUGUUUCCCGCCCGCGUUGAAAGUCUCCGACCUCACGGCCCGGUACUCCUUCCAGUGGUCAGUGAAGACCAAGGACCAUGAAGCUGUCGAAGUGUUGCCCGCAAGUGUUCCUGCGGGCGCAGAUAAGUUCGCAUUCUUCACCGGAUUUGUUUAUUGUGGAUUGCUCCCUCCUUUCUCGGCAUUCUUUGAUGAGGUGAUGCGGACCCGGAAUUUUCUGGGGGUGGUGCCCAACGUGCCUCUGUUCCGCCAUUUUUAUUCACCGCAAAUUGAAGGUGACGCCAUCUCCGGUAGCGUGACAUGGAUCUCCGCGCUGCCCGCUUGA